GGCAGUCUGUCUUGGAUACAGGCAUCGAGGGGGUGCAUUACGUGCAGAGAUUUAAAAAACAAUAAUAAAACUGACUAAAAGUCAGUCUGCUUCUUAUUAUCACCAUGUGCCAACAAUUCUAAACAUUGCCAGUGAUAAAAUACUCCUCCUUGAAAAAGUUUUUUGUUGGUCUAACUUCCAAACAACUACAGUGGUUACUGGGGUGCAGCUCUGUGCCUUACAAGAAAUCUAUGAUUUAUGGAAGAAUCUACACUCUCUUAAUGUGACUGCCUCUCAGACAUCAGAAGACAACCUCACAUCACCUAAAUACAGCUGCCCAGCUUACUGGAGCCUUUGUGCUGAAUCAGUGGGACUUGUUUUAGCUUUGCAUGGACCUGAGUGAGCUCUGCAGCCACCACCUAUAACUGAAGUCUCUUGUGCCAUGCUUUGAAAGGAAGUUACCCACAGCAGCUCUCAUUUGAGGAGAACAAAGCCAUGAGGACUUGCAUUUUUAACCAACACAUGGCCAGCAAAGGCACACAGAGUUGACAUGGAACCCAGAACCAACUAAGGCAAAUACUGGCCUCAGAACACAGAACAGACAGCAAAGAGUACAACAAGGAAGAGAAAUGAAAAUGAAAUUUAGAACUGCAAAACUCUGAGAGUCCCAGUUCCCAAUACUUGUAGGACCUUGGAUAAGCCACUUAAUAUCUUCAUAGAACCCUAGUUUCUCUUCAGCAAA